rnacentral:tmRNA from 2 species
GGGGCUGAACAGGAUUUCGACAGGAGUUGCGUCGCGUGGGUGGCAUGCCAAGUGUCUCUUGUAAAACGACACAAACAAUAACCGUAAACAAUCCUAAUUACGCUCCCAACUACGCUAAAGCAGCGUAGCGAGCCGGAAACUUAGCUGAUCAACUGGUGUUGGCUUGGUAUUUCCGUCAUUUUUGCCAGUUGCCUUUAAAAAGCGCCCGCUUUUAAAGUAAGAAAAGGGCUAUGGUCUUGCUAAGAUUUUUAGAGAGAUUGGAUCGCAAGCACCAGAAUCUCACCAAUUUCUCUAAGCAUGUAGAAGCCCGCGAAAGGAUGUGAUUUUUGGACUGGGGUUCGAUUCCCCACGGCUCCACCA